rnacentral:lncRNA from 1 species
UUAAAUCUUGACCCCCAGAGUAUAUCAGAUCCGCCACAAAUACAGAGAGUCCACUGUUCACACGGACAUAAUUUUUUCGGUAUUUGCACGGCGUCGUACAAGUACAAGAUACAACCACAACAUAUAAACAUCCAUAUUCAUUCACCAUUCACAUCAACAUUCAUUUCAUUACAAAUAUUCAUAAAUUCACAUCUAUUAAUUUAAAACGUUUCCUACCCGAAAACUCGUUUUGAAAUACUAGGAACCAGGAAAACCAGAAAAUUCUUUUUUAAAACAGUUUCCCACACGGAAACCUUUUUUCUUUUAAAACACGCUAUCACGAGAGGUAGAAAAUCAUUUUCAUUUCGCAAGAAUCCAUAAAUCUUUCAUUACAUUCAUGAAAUCUCAAUUAUUCAAUUAACAUGAAAUAUUGAACCAUAAUUACUUUCUACGUCACUUAGUAAAAGAAAUUGAGUUUAAGAGUUAAACCGAAGAUAUGGAUCCGAAAGCUCUAUCGAUCGCUAAGUGCGCUCCUCACGAACCGUCCCACUAGGACCCGCGACGUCACCUGAAAGGGGAGUGGGGGGUGAGAACAUGUACACAUGUCUCCCCUCCCAGUGGGUACCGCAAGCCGAUGAGGGCGAGGGAUACUCACCAGUUAAGGAGAAUAAGUAAAGGUAUGGGUAAAAGUAAUACAGUAGCGACAAUAAAUAAAGGAAUGAGUUGUAUAAAUGAAUAACUACCGCUACUGUAUGUAUACAUCAACCGGACGAUAGGUCCAAAAAUACCCAAUCUGAAACCUACCCUAUCGGUCCGUAGACCUCAGGCCCAUGCCAUUGUCACUCUACCUGCAU